UGAAACUUAAAGGAAUUGACGGAAGGGCACCACCAGGAGUGGAGCCUGCGGCUUAAUUUGACUCAACACGGGAAAACUCACCAGGCCCGGACACCGGAAGGAUUGACAGAUUGAGAGCUCUUUCUCGAAUCGGUGGGUGGUGGUGCAUGGCCGUUCUUAGUUGGUGGAGCGAUUUGUCUGGUUAAUUCCGAUAACGAACGAGACUCUAGCCUGCUAACUAGGCGUACCCGGUAUCCGCAAUAGUGCUACCGGCGAAUUCAGUUCUUCUUAGAGGGACAGGCGGCUUCUAGCCGCACGAGACUGAGCAAUAACAGGUCUGUGAUGCCCUUAGAUGUCCUGGGCCGCACGCGCGCUACACUGAAGGAAUCAGCGUGUCUUCCCUGUCCGAGAGGACCGGGUAACCCGCUGAACCUCCUUCGUGCUAGGGACUGGGGCUUGCAAUUGUUCCCCACGAACGAGGAAUUCCCAGUAAGCGCGAGUCAUAAGCUCGCGUUGAUUACGUCCCUGCCCUUUGUACACACCGCCCGUCGCUACUACCGAUUGAAUGAUUUAGUGAGGUCUUCGGACCGGGGCGCGGAGGCCGCCUCGCGGUCACCGGUGUCGCCGGAAAGAUGACCGAACUUGAUCAUUUAGAGGAAGUAAAA
rnacentral:rRNA from 1 species